GUGACCGGCUUCCUUUUGAUCCACAAGACCGUCGUCCUGUCGAUCCACAAAUAAGGUAGGUUAAACAAGUAAUGUGUGUGUUAUUCUGUCCAAAAAACCGACAGAACCCGAGUGUACACCCUCGUCUUCCUGGUCAGUAUUUAGAACUUUGAAAAUUACUCUUUGAAAAUUCAACCACAACAAGCUAGCUUAACUGUAGUAUGUAUGGAUAUAUGUAAUUAUGCAACCAGCUAACUAACUUGGCCUCUUGAACUGCAGUAUGUAUGUUUGCACCCAGCUAACUAACUUGGCCUCUUCAACUGCAGUAUGUAUGUAUGUAUGUAUGUAUGUAUGUAUGCACGUAUCCACACAGGUACCACAGUUGGCCUGCAGUUUGGAUGCGACCAGAACCGGCUAACCGACUUGGCCACCAGAACUGCAGUACCGCAGUUGGCCUGCAGUUUGGAUGCGACCAGAACCGGCUAACCGACUUGGCCACCAGAACUGCAGUACCGCAGUUGGCCUGCAGUUUGGAUGCGACCAGAACCGGCUAACAGACUUGACCACCAGAACUGCAGUACCACAGUUGGCCUGCAGUUUGGAUGCGACCAGAACCGGCUAACCGACUUGGCCACCAGAACUGCAGUACCACAGUUGGCCUGCAUUUUGGAUGCGACCAGAACCGGCUAACCGACUUGGCCACCAGAACUGCAGUAUGUACCACAGUUGGCCUGCAGUUUGGAUGCGACCAGAACCGGCUAACCGACUUGGCCACCAGAACUGCAGUACCACAGUUGGCCUGUUGAACUGCAGUGUGGAUGCAACCAGAACCAGCUAACUAACUUGGCCUCUUGAAGUUCAGUAUUUGUAUGUAUUACGUAUAUAUAUUUAUGUAUUUGUGCACCCAGCUAACUAACCUGUCCUGUUGAACUGCAGUUUGGAUGCGACCAGAACCGGCUAACCGACUUGGCCACCAGAACUGCAGUAUGUACCUUUUAAAGAUGCGCAAGGAUGGAUACCUUCAUGUGGAGUUGUGUUUUUAAUCAUCCAUAUUCAUUCAACCACUUAUUUGUUCUUAUCCUUAAGGUAAGAGGUAAGGUAAGGUAAGCCUUUUUACUGGGUAAAAGCACAGACUUUGAAAACUUGCCAUGGGGAUAAACGUUGUCACACAAGUUAACCACUGUAAAAAAACAAAAAAGGCAAACUAUUUAAACGUAAGGUCACACAAGUGUCAAAAGAAUUUAAACACACUCACUGCGCAGUUUGUGUAAAAGGGGAAAAAUUUCUUGUGUAUGGUGUUUUCAAAAAGCAAAACAGAAACUUGUCACAAAUGUAUGAAAUAACUUCUUAACAAGAGCUCUUGUGUGUGUCAAAAUCAAAACAAAAAUCAAAAUGUGCAAACUUCACAAAAGCAAAAGGUGCAAAACAUUGUUGGGACAAGUGUUAAAAGGUUGGUCACACAAGUUAACCACUGUAAAACUGGAACAAAAUGUGUAUACUGUGUCUGAAGGUUUAAAAAAAAUAAAGAGGUCUUGUGUGUGUGUGUCAUAAUCAAAGCACUUGUGUGACAAAUCUAAAAAUAACACUAACUCAAAGGUUUUUUUUUCCAGGAAACACGGUAAAACAAAGGGUCACAAAAAAUUGAAUAACGACAGCUCUUGUGUUUGCCAUGGUGUCAAAAACUGCAAACUUGGCAAAAAAAUGUGCAAAAUGUUGUGACAAGUGUGAUUUUUUUUUUUGAAGGUUUAAAAAAAAAAAACAAGAGGUCUUGUGUGUGUCAUAAUCAAAGCACUUGUGUGACAAAUCUAAAAAUAACACUAACUCAAAGGUUUUUUUCCCAGGAAACACGGUAAAACAAAGGGUCACAAAAAACUGAAUAACGACAGCUCUUGUGUUUGCCAUGGUGUCAAAAACUGCAAACUUGACCAAAAAAAACAAAAAAUUUGCAAAAUGUUGUGACAAGUGUGAUUUUUUUUGAAGGUUUAAAAAAAAUAAAGAGGUCUUGUGUGUGUGUCAUAAUCAAAGCACUAACUUGAAAAACACUUGUGACAAAUCUAAAAAUAACACUAACUCAAUCACCAAAGUUUUUUUCCCCUGCAGGAAAAAUGGUGAAACAAAGGGCACACAAAAAACUGAAUAACAGCGCUUGUGUUUGCCAUGGUGUCAAAAACUGCAAACUUGACCAAAAAAAAAACAAAAAAUUUGCAAAAUGUUGUGACAAGUGUGAUUUUUUUUUGAAGGUUUAAAAAAA